rnacentral:lncRNA from 1 species
ACCUUUGCCUUCCUGAAACUCUAUUCAUGAUUCUAGUAACACCAUCCUCUCCCAAUUUUUCUCUUAGCCUUCCAACCACUCUUCAAGUUUCUUACUGUGCUCAUCUUCCAGAGCCAACCUCUCAAUGUCAGUGUGUACCAAAAUCCUACCUUUGGUCCUCUUCUCAGCAGGAGGAGCCCCCACUCCAAGCUCACAAUCUCCCUUAGCUUCCACCUCCACUUUUUUUUUUUUUUUUUUUUUUUUGAGAUGGAGUUUCGCUCUUGUUGCCCAGGCUGGAGUGCAAUGGCGCGAUCUCGGCUCACCGCAACCUCCGUCUCCCAGGUUCAAGUGAUUCUCCUGCCUCAGCCUCCCAAGUAGCUGGGAUUACAGGCAUGUGCCACCACGCCCGGCUAAUUUUGUAUUUUUAGUAGAGAUGGGGUUUCUCCAUGUUGGUCAGGCUGGUCUUGACUCCUGAUCUCAGAUGAUCCACCCGCCUUGGCCUCCCAAAGUGCUGGGUUGACAGUCAUGAGCCACCGCGCCUGGCCAGCUUCCACCUCUACUUUUAAACCAAGUUUGAAAUCCCUAUUGUCAAAACAUCUUGCCUACCAGCUAUCUUCACCCAACUUUCUCUUUAAACCAGUUUCUGCUAUCUUUUUUUUUUUUUUUUUUUUUUUGGACAGAGUUUCACUCUUGUCAUCCAGGCUGGAGUGCAGUGGCACGAUCUUGGCUCAUCGCAACCUCUGCCUCCCGGGUUGAUGCGAUUCUCUUACCUCAGCCUCCCAAGUAGCUGGGAUUACAGUUGCCCACCACCAUGCCCGGCUAAUUUUUCUAUUUUUAGUAGAGAUGGGGUUUCACCAUGUUGUCCAGGCUGGUCUCGAACUCCUGACCUCAAGUGAUCUGCCCGCCUCAGCCUCCCAAUGUGCUGGGACUGCAGGCGUGAGCCACUGUGCCUGGCCUAUCUUCCCUAUUUCGGAGUUAAUGCCAUCACCAUUCACCUGGUCUUGGAGUCACCCAUGAACAUUCUCCUCCCCGAUUCAGGAAACUGAUUUUUAUCUGUUACUCCAAAUUGGCUCCUACUGACCACCUCCAAUAAAUUUUAGUUUACACCCUCAUCACCUCUCACUUCUAGAUUAUUAAAUCUUUGAGAACAAGAACUCUUUUACUUAUCUUUGCGUCUAUAGCAAAGUACACAGCAUGCCCUCAAAUGUUCCAUCUAACAUUUUAAACUUCAGUUUUCUAGAGAAUCUGAAGUCGUUUACAAUAAAUUCAACGAAAUAUAAAUAAAACAAGAAUCUGGACUAGGAAUAUACAAAUUUAUAUAGAAAUUGGGGGAAGUAGCCAGGUGCAGUGGUUCACACUUGUAAUCCUAGCACUUUGAGAGGCCAAGGUGGGAGGAUCACUUGAGAUUGCUUGAACGGGGCUUGAGACUACAGUGAGCCGUGCUGGUACCACAAUGCUCCAGCUUGGGUGACAGAGCAAGACCCUUUCUCAAAACAAACAAAAAAAAGUGGGGGAAGAUGAAUGCAGUAAACAGAACCCAAAGAACCACUUAAUUAUUAAAACAGAGUGGCAUUUUGGCAUGUCAGCUACCCGGCAUCCAAAAUAAAGUAAAAUGAGCACUUACAUAAUUUUCAUUGUCCUUGAAGAGAACACUCAAGUAUAUUUGGAAAACAAAGUAAUUCUUUUUUAAUUGUUUUAUUUUCGUUUUCUCCUCUACUACUCAUUCAAGAAGGAAAGCAACGUAUUUCUGAAACUUGGCUUCAAGAACGAAUAAUACCUAAGGCUUUAGGGUCUGCCCUUUAGGCUUUGAUU